rnacentral:lncRNA from 1 species
AGAACAACUGAGAGUGGCCUCUCGCGCUUUCCCCCAGUUCUCCCUUAAAAAUACUUGGGGGAAGAAAGUGCUUGACUACUCACAGUCCUGUGAUGACCUGUGGCGGAAGGUAAACCGAAGGUGACUGCGGUUAACGUCCUCGAUGGGAAUGGCCACCUUCAAGAAUUGAAAAAGAAGUUUAAGCACUGUUAUCAAUAUCAUCCAGCGUAACAGCUUUAUUCAACUGGAGCUAUCAGAGCCAACCCCUGGCCUGGUUUUCAAAUAUUCAAGCUCUUGGCGGUGAGACGGUGUUUACUCCAUCGUGGAGAUGUGAGCACGCUGCAUUAUGAAAAGGCACCAUAUCAGAGCUACAGAACAGGAUCCCACUCCCCAGCAAUGACCUCCACAGGCUGGCAGCUCGGUUUUUUUGUUUGGUGUAAAGACAGCAUGCCACACAUAAAACAGUACUGGGAAGAGAAAGACAAUAGCUAUCUUAAAAAGACUCUGUCAUUUGUCUCCAUGAACGUCCUAUUUUUACGUCCAAAAGGAGAUGAGAGUAAAUGUAUUCUAAGAAACACCA